rnacentral:tRNA from 1 species
AAACAAUAGCAUUAAAAUGCACAUCGGUUUCGGCCCGGUGAGAGCGUACCCACGCAUUGUUUU